rnacentral:antisense_RNA from 1 species
GUUUAAAUGGUUCAUGUGGCUACUAUUUGUAUUGUUUGA